GCUAAAGUUCACACGCCCGGAACAUUUUGAAAAACGAUGGGGAAAAAAAGAUGGAUCCGACGUCCAAAAUUGUAGAUGGUGCAAACGAGCGCAAAACAAUAAGCUGAAUACGACAAUUACGCCGUAGCGAGUCAAAUCUACCAACGUCACGAAAAUAUUUCAUCACGAUUUGGUAAAAACGCCCAGCGGAAUGAUGUGGACGAGGAUGUGGAAGUGGAAAGAUACACAAAACGUAUGUGUUUUUUGUCAGACACUUCAAGCUCUACAAGUUUAUCCUGCGGUGCAGCAACGGUUGCAUUAAAGAUGCUAUUAUAUAAAUAAAAUCAUGAAAAAAUCUGGAAUAAGAUAAUAAAAAAGCAAAAUAUA